AUGUUUACCGUUUGUCGAACAGAAGUCCAUGUUUGGCGUUGUCCAUGCUAAUGAGGUUCCAGUCCUUUUCCAAAGAUGAUGAAAUGUACGUGGAUCCAAACAUGAAAAUCCACAGCCGUGCUGUUAGAACCACGAAAGUUUGAGUGCCAGCAUGUCUGGGUCAAGUGUGGCUGUCAGAGGACUGAAAACAUCUGUGUCUGGAAUCACUGCCAAUACACCACUGUGUUACUCUUUAGUUGAACGUCCCAUCUUUGGCAUGAACUUCAGAGCUACCACCUGGUGGAUACACAGACAAGGAGAGCCUGCUGAGCCAUGGUGAUUUAUUUAAAAAAAAAAAAAAAAAAGAGAAAAGAAAAGAAAAGAAGCCCUAUUUCACUGGAACAAAGCGACUUACUUGGCCUGUAAACCUUUUCAUUCCUUUAUGAACACGACCAAACGAGCCCUGCCCGACUUGAGCCAAAACGUGGUAGGAAUCCAUCUUAAUG